AGUGAACGCUGGCGGUAGGCCUAACACAUGCAAGUCGAACGGCAGCACAGUAAGAGCUUGCUCUUACGGGUGGCGAGUGGCGGACGGGUGAGGAAUACAUCGGAAUCUACUUUUUCGUGGGGGAUAACGUAGGGAAACUUACGCUAAUACCGCAUACGACCUACGGGUGAAAGCAGGGGAUCUUCGGACCUUGCGCGAUUGAAUGAGCCGAUGUCGGAUUAGCUAGUUGGCGGGGUAAAGGCCCACCAAGGCGACGAUCCGUAGCUGGUCUGAGAGGAUGAUCGGCCACACUGGAACUGAGACACGGACCAGACUCCUACGGGAGGCAGCAGUGGGGAAUAUUGGACAAUGGGCGCAAGCCUGAUCCAGCCAUACCGCGUGGGUGAAGAAGGCCUUCGGGUUGUAAAGCCCUUUUGUUGGGAAAGAAAAGCAGCAGGUUAAGACCCCGCUGUUCUGACGGUACCCAAAGAAUAAGCACCGGCUAACUUCGUG
rnacentral:rRNA from 1 species